AGCUCCAAUAGCGUAUAUUAAAGUUGUUGCAGUUAAAAAGCUCGUAGUUGAAUUUGUGGUUGGUCCCCUGGUCCCAAUUUGGGUGCUAUGGGGGUUGACCAUCUUUGGUUGGAUCCUGUGUGGCAUUAGGUUGUCGUGCAGGGGAUGGCCAUCGUUUACUGUGAAAAAAUUAGAGUGUUCAAAGCAAGCUUACGCUUGAUGAAUAUAUUAGCAUGGAAUAAUAAGAUAGGACCUCGGUACUAUUUUGUUGGUUUGCGCAUUGAGGUAAUGAUUAACAGAAACAGUUGGGGGUCUUCGUAUUCCAUUGUCAGAGGUGAAAUUCUUGGAUUUCUGGAAGACGAACUACUGCGAAAGCAUUGACCAAGGAUGUUUUCA
rnacentral:rRNA from 1 species